rnacentral:rRNA from 1 species
ACUCUCGGCAACGGAUAUCUCGGCUCUCGCAUCGAUGAAGAACGUAGCAAAAUGCGAUACCUGGUGUGAAUUGCAGAAUCCCGCGAACCAUCGAGUUUUUGAACGCAAGUGCACCCUGUUGGGCAGUCUGGCCGAGGGCAAGUCUUGCCUGGCUUAACGCCAAAAGACACUCCCAACCCACCCGAGGGGGAGGGACGUGGUGUUUGGUCCCCCGUGCCGCAGGGCGCGGUGGGCCGAAGUUGGGGCUGCCGGCGAAAAAAAUUCGUGUACGGGAACAGCACGUGUGGUGGGCGACACUCAGUUGUUCUCGGUGCAGCGCCCCGGCACGCGGCCGGCGCAUCGGCCCUAAGGACCCAUGGAGCACCGCAGCGCAUAGCCGCUCGGACCGCGACCCCAGGUCAGUCGGGACUACCCGCUGAGUUUAAGCAUAUAAAUAAGCGGAGGAGAAGAAACUUACAAGGAUUCCCCUAGUAACGGCGAGCGAACGGGACCAGCCAGCUUGAGAAUCGGGUGGCUUCGUCGCCAGAAUUGUAGUCUGGAGAGGCGUCCUCAGCGACGGACCGAGCCCAAGUUUCCCUGGAAAGGGACGCCUGGGAGGGUGAGAGCCCCGUCCGGCCCGGACCCUGUCGCACCACGAGGCGCCGUCAACGAGUCGGGUGUUUGGGAAUGCAGCCCAAAUGGGCGGUAAACUCCGUCCAAGGCUAAAUACAGGCGAGAGACCGAUAGCGAACAAGUACCGCGAGGGAAAGAUGAAAAGGACUUUGAAAAGAGAGUCAAAGAGUGCUUGAAAUUGCCGGGAGGGAAGCGGAUGGGGCUGGCGAUGCGCCCGGUCGUAUGCGGAACGGCUCCUGCUGGUCCGCCGAUCGGCUCGGGGCGUGGACCGUUGUCGGUCGAGAAGGCGGCCUAAGCCGGGGGCCCUAGGCGCCUCCGGCAGCCGUCGUCGGCACGGCCGGUCUCCGCGCGCCCAAGGGGCGCCCCUCGGGGCGCUGCGCAUGCAACGGCCUGCGAGCUCCCCAUCCGACCCGUCUUGAAACACGGACCAAGGAGUCUGACAUGCGUGCGAGUCGACGGGUUCUGAAACCUGGAUGCGCAAGGAAGUGACGGAUCGGGAGGCCCUCAGGGGCCGCAACCGCUGGCCGACCCUGAUCUUCUGUGAAGGGUUCGAGUUGGAGCACGCCUGUCGGGACCCGAAAGAUGGUGAACUAUGCCUGAGCGGGGCGAAGCCAGAGGAAACUCUGGUGGAGGCCGAAGCGAUACUGACGUGCAAAUCGUUCAUCUGACUUGGGUAUAGGGGCGAAAGACUAAUCGAACCAUCUAGUAGCUGGUUCCCUCCGAAGUUUCCCUCAGGAUAGCUGGAGCCCAUUACGAGUUCUAUCAGGUAAAGCCAAUGAUUAGAGGCAUCGGGGGCGCAACGCCCUCGACCUAUUCUCAAACUUUAAAUAGGUAGGACGGCACGGCUGCUACGGUGAGCCGUGCCACGGAAUCGGGAGCUCCAAGUGGGCCAUUUUUGGUAAGCAGAACUGGCGAGGUCGGAUGAAACCGAAAGCGGGUUACGGUGCCGAACUGCGCGCUAACCUAGAACCCACAAAGGGUGUUGGUCGAUUAAGACAGCAGGACGGUGGUCAUGGAAGUCGAAAUCCGCUAAGGAGUGUGUAACAAACUCACCUGCCGAAUCAACUAGCCCCGAAAAUGGAUGGCGCUGAAGCGCGCGACCCACACCCGGCCUCUGGCGAGCGCCAUGCCCGAUGAGUAGGAGGGCGCGGCGGCCGCCGCAAAACCCGGGGCACGAGCCCAAGCGGAGCGGCAGUCGGUGCGAUCUUGGUGGUAGUAGCAAAUAUUCAAAUGAGAACUUUGAAGGCCGAAGAGGAGAAAGGUUCAAGGUGAACGGCACUUGCACAUGGGGAAGCCGAUCUAAGGGACGGGGCAACCCGGAGACAUGCACGACUCGCGCGUCCCCCGAAAGGGAAUCGGGUUAAGAUUUCCCGAGCCGGGACGUGGCGGUUGACGGCGACGUUAGGAAGUCCGGAGACGCGGCGGGGCCUCGGGAAGAGUUAUCUUUCUGCUUAACGGCCUGCCAACCCUGGAAUGGUUCAGCCGGAGGUAGGGUCCAGCGGUCGGAAGAGCACCGCACGUCGCGCGGUGUCCGGUGCGCCCCCGGCGGCCCUUGAAAAUCCGGAGGACCGAGUACCGUCCACGCUCCGGUCGUACUCAUAACUGCAUCAGGUCUCAAGUGAACAGCCUCUGGCCAAUGGAACAAUGUAGGCAAGGGAAGUCGGCAAAACGGAUCCGUAACUUCGGGAAAAGGAUUGGCUCUGAGGGUUGGGCUCGGGGGUCCCGGCCCCGAACCCGUCGGCUGCCGGCGGACUGCUCGAGCUGCUCCCGCGGCGAGAGCGGGCCGCCGCGUGCGGCCGGGGGACGGACCGGGAACGGGUUCCAAUUCGGGGGCCUGCCCGGGCGUCGAACAACCGACUCAGAAAUGGUACGGACAAGGGGAAUCCGACUGUUUAAUUAAAACAAAGCAUUGCGAUGGUCCCCACGGAUGCUGACGCAAUGUGAUUUCUGCCCAGUGCUUGAAUGUCAAAGUGAAGAAAUUCAACCAAGCGGUGGGUACACGGGAGUAACUAUGAAUCUCUUAAGGUAGCCAAAUGCCUCGUCAUCUAAUUAGUGACGCGCAUGAAUGGAUUAACGAGAUCGCACUGUCCCUGUCUACUAUCCAGCGAAACCACAGCCAAGGAACGGCUUGGCGGAAUCAGCGGGGAAAGAAGACCCUGUUGAGCUUGACUCUAGUCCGACUUUGUGAAUGACUUGAGAGGUGUAGGACAAGGUUUCCGUAGGUGAAACAGCGGAAGGAUCAUUGUCGUGACCCUUAAACAAAACAGACCGUGAACACGUCCCUCGUGCCGCCGGCUGCGCUCGGCACGAGGUCCCCGACUCCGUCCGGAGCGGAGGGGCCACAACAGAACCCACGGCGGCCGUACGGAGUCAAAGGACACUAUCUGCCUUGCGUGGUGGAGCGGUCGGCCCGCCUUCCGCUCCCCGCGCAGCGAUGAUAUCUUAAUCGACA